rnacentral:rRNA from 1 species
CCCCACUGCUAUCGGGAUAGGACUAAGACAUGCUAGUCGAGUGACUCAGGCAAAACGAGUCACGGCACACAGCUCAGUAACACGUGGCUAAUCUGCCCUUGGGACUAGAACAACCCCGGGAAACUGGGGCUAACUCUAGAUAGGUGAAGAACUCUGGAAUGAGUCUUUGCCUAAAUAGGUUCACGUUAUCCUCGUGAACUUGCCCAAGGAUGAGGCCGCGACCGAUCAGGUUGUUGGCGAGGUAAUGGCUCACCAAGCCUUUUACCGGUGCGGGCCGUGGGAGCGGGAGCCCGGAGAUGGGUACUGAGACAAGGACCCAGGCCCUACGGGGCGCAGCAGUCGCGAAACCUUUGCAAUACACGAAAGUGUGACAGGGCUAUCCCGAGUGCCAUCCGCUGAGGAAGGCUUUUACCCAGUCUAGAACGCUGGGGGAAUAAGGAGAGGGCAAGUCUGGUGUCAGCCGCCGCGGUAAUACCAGCUCUCCGAGUGGUGUGGAUGUUUAUUGGGCCUAAAGCAUCCGUAGCUGGCUAGGUAAGUCCCUUGUUAAAUCCACCGAAUUAAUCGUUGGAUCGCGGGGGAUACUGCUUGGCUAGGGGACGAGAGAGGCAGACGGUAUUCUCGGGGUAGGGGUGAAAUCCUAUAAUCCCGGGAAGACCACCAGUGGCGAAGGCUGUCUACUAGAACGCGCCCGACGGUGAGGGAUGAAAGCUGGGGGAGCGAACCGGAUUAGAUACCCGGGUAGUCCCAGCUGUAAACGAUGCAGACUAGGUGUUUGAACGGCCACGUGCCGUUCUAGUGCCGCAGGGAAGCUGUUAAGUCUGCCGCCUGGGGAGUACGAUCGCAAGAUUGAAACUUAAAGGAAUUGGCGGGGGAGCACCACAAGGGGUGAAGCUUGCGGUUU